rnacentral:lncRNA from 1 species
AGCUACUUGCUAAAAGUUAAACCAUUGAAGAAGUUGUCUUUGAGAUAAUAUGUUAUCUUUACUGUUGUCUUUGGAGAUGACCUGAUGCGAUCACACUCGUCGUGGUCCCUUCCCUUGCUUGCCGCUUUGCUUCUCGUCUUCACCUGGUCCACGCCGGUCGCCGGCGGUGAGACCGAGGGGCUUCCGAUUCAUGUGCUACAAGAAAACAACGUUCACGAGGAGAACUUUGUUAGUUGAAGAUCAAGAACGCGGCGAUUAAUAUGUUUCUGUUGUUCUCUGAGCUUGUAUGGAUUAUGGAAUGAUCUUUAUUAUUUCUGCGUAGAAACUAAAUUGUACAGAUUUUGCGACGAGUUGUUACUUUGAUUUUUGAACAAAUGUUUGAUCAGGAUGUGGUUCGUUUGUGCGCUAAAGGUUGUAAUGCUUUGAGCAGAUUUAUCAGCUCGGACCAGUCACCGCACGACGAUCCGCCGUCGGCCACGGCCGCGCGCGCCGCGACGCCGAGCUCGGCGGCCCUCGAUCUCCUCGCGGCGGCGGUGUCGGUGUCGUCGCCGUCACCCAUUAGCCUGCCCACCGCCCUCGCCACCUCCUCAGCCGGCACCACCGCCUCCGGGGACGCG